rnacentral:sRNA from 1 species
AGCAGCCGCGGUAAUUCCAGCUCCAAUAGCGUAUAUUAAAGUUGUUGCAGUUAAAAAGCUCGUAGUUGAAUUUCGGGGUUAGUAGGUUGGUCAUGCCUCUGGUAUGUACUGGUCUCACUGAUUCCUCCUUCCUGAUGAGCCGUAAUGCCAUUAAUUUGGUGUUGCGGGGAAUUUGGACUGUUACUUUGAAAAAAUUAGAGUGUUUAAAGCAAGCUAACGCUUGAAUACAUUAGCAUGGAAUAAUGAAAUAGGACGUUCGAUCCUAUUUUGUUGGUUUCUAGGAUUGACGUAAUGAUUAAUAGGGAUAGUUGGGGGCAUUAGUAUUCAAUUGUCAGAGGUGAAAUUCUUGGAUUUAUUGAAGACUAACUACUGCGAAAGCAUUUGCCAAGGAUGUUUUCAUUAAUCAAGAACGAAAGUUAGGGGAUCGAAGACGAUCAGAUACCGUCGUAGUCUUAACCAUAAACUAUGCCGACUAGGGAUCGGAUGAUGUUAAUUUUUUAAUGACUCAUUCGGCGCCUUA